rnacentral:rRNA from 1 species
CCUACGGGUGGCAGCAGUGGGGAAUAUUGGGCAAUGGGCGAAAGCCUGACCCAGCAACGCCGCGUGAAGGAAGAAGGCUUUCGGGUUGUAAAGUUCUAUUGACAGGGAAGAGAAGAAGACGGUACCUGUCGAAUAAGCCACGGCUAAAUACGUGCCAGCAGCCGCGGUAAUAUGGAGGGGGCAAGCGAUGUCCGGAUUUAGGGGGUGUAAAGGGCGUGUAGGCGGGCUGACAAGUCCGGUGUGAAAUCCGGGGGCUCAACCCCCGAACUGCUUUUGAAACUGUUGGUCUUGAGUAUCGGAGAGGCAGGUGGAAUUCCUAGUGUAGCGGUGAAAUGCGUAGAUAUUAGGAGGAACACCAGUGGCGAAGGCGGCCUGCUGGACUACAACUGACGGUGAGGCGCGAAAGCGUGGGGAGCAAACAGGAUUAGAUACCCUAGUAGUC